rnacentral:rRNA from 1 species
GUGUCAGCAGCCGCGGUAAUACGGAGGAUGCAAGCGUUAUCCGGAAUGAUUGGGCGUAAAGCGUCUGUAGGUGGUUUGUGUAGUCCCAUGUCAAAGACCAGGACUUAACCCUGGGCCGGCAUGUGGAAACUCGCAAGCUUGAGUAUGGUAGGGGCAGAGGGAAUCCCCGGUGUAGCGGUGAAAUGCGUAGAUAUCGGGAAGAACACCAACGGCGAAAGCACUCUGCUGGGCCAAAACUGACACUAAGAGACGAAAGCUAGGGUAGCAACUGGGAUUAGAUACCCCAUUAGUCCUAGCCGUAAACGAUGGAUACUAAGUACUGUGCUCUUCUAAAGCUCAGUACUGUAGCUAACGCGUUAAGUAUCCCGCCUGGGGAGUAUGCUCGCAAGAGUGAAACUCAAAGGAAUUGACGG